ACCCAAGAACUAGGUUGCCCUCCAGGCUCACAGAUGUUUGAGGAAGGGUGAACACCUGCCCCUUUCCUUUCUGCCAAUGGUGGACCAGAGUCUUCAGGUUUGUGUCAGCUUAACUGAUUAAUGCGGAGAACACUGACAGCCUUACAGAGUUAAGUCUUCUACUGAUGAGCACAGUGUGUCUCUCCACUGACUUGAUCUCUUCCACCUUCUGUGGUGCAGCAAAGUGGCUCCUGGCACUUGAAGGAUACGGCCUUGAAGAGGAGGAGUGAGGCCCGCUCCUUCCUGGCUGCUGAUUGGGUUGUGCUGUGGUGACUGAAGUAGAACAGCCGUUCUUGGGUGACACUUUGAGAAUGGGGAAAUACAUGGAGGGUAAAGGCCUAGCAGGGGCCAGGACUGUUCACGGAGUGUAGAGCCACACCAGGCACGCACCAUCUGUGGGAAGGGGAAAUAAACUUCCCAUUUCUUUAAA